CACAAUGGGGGAGACCCUGAUGCAGCCAUGCCGCGUGUGUGAAGAAGGCCUUCGGGUUGUAAAGCACUUUCAGCAGUGAGGAAGGUGGUGUACUUAAUAAGUGCAUGGCUUGACGUUAGCUGCAGAAGAAGCACCGGCUAACUCCGUGCCAGCAGCCGCGGUAAUACGGAGGGUGCGAGCGUUAAUCGGAAUUACUGGGCGUAAA
rnacentral:rRNA from 1 species